rnacentral:misc_RNA from 1 species
UACGGAGGGUGCAAGCGUUAAUCGGAAUUACUGGGCGUAAAGGGCGCGUAGGCGGACCUUCAAGUCAAGGGUGAAAGGCCUGGGCUCAACCUGGGAACUGCCUUUGAGACUGAGGGUCUCGAGUCCGGGAGAGGAUGGCGGAAUUCCCAGUGUAGAGGUGAAAUUCGUAGAUAUUGGGAAGAACACCGGUGGCGAAGGCGGCCAUCUGGCCCGGCACUGACGCUGAGGCGCGAAAGCGUGGGGAGCAAACAGG